CCGCAGCCCUUGCGCUUGAAAAAGGCCCAACGUGGUUGCGCCAGCGUACAGGCAAGCGCGUGGGCACCGGGUGCUUCCAUUGGACUGUCCAUUGCAGCGCACGGUGUGCGCUUGAACGCAUGUCUCGGAGACUACAGGGCGCACAAGGAGCGCAAAGCCACGUCGGUAGUUGCCCGUGUCUACCGAGACUGGCCCGUGACCGGCGGAGAAAGACGAGGAUGACAUCGAAGGUCGGCAUGGCCCUAACGUCCGUGGGCGACACACACGCUAACAAUGACCAAUGAGAAGUGCGACGCGAAGCCGAAAGCGGAGCUAAUCGCCUAAACGUGGUCUCAGUGAGAUCGGGGGCUGAACUCGCCCACAUGAGCGAGUUGCUAGUAACGCGUAAGGCAAUCUCAAUCCCAUCCACUGCGCCGUCACAUGCGUCUAAGCCCAUUCGCCUUAG
rnacentral:rRNA from 1 species